UUUUUCUCUGGUUUCUUUUGUUUUGAUUAUUUUUUUUCGUUUUCGUUUUAAAAUUACUUUUUUCUUCUUUCACAAUUAUUUUAAUUUCUUUUCGUCAUUUAAUUAAUCUUCUUCUUCUUCUAGAAUAAUCCAAUGGAUUACAUUUAUUCCUCAUGGUGGUUGAUUAGCGCAAAUUGCCGACAGUUUAAUCAACAGCAUGAUUGUCCCGAUGAAUUGGAAUCUUUGAAAAACUGAUUAUUUCGUUUCUUUUUCUGAUUCUCUUCUUUUCCAUAAACAUUUCACUAUAUCGGGGAUCACAGAUAUCGGGGAUCUGUGUUGUCAAUCAAUCAAUACUUUAUGUGACUAACUGUAGUUAAUUUGAUUAUCAACCCAUUGAAUAGAUGACAGAUGAAAAUGAUGAUAUUCUCAUGAAUUUCUUGCCUUUCGCUUGCUGAUUAGGAGAUUUUACCUGAUUACUGAUGGUUUGGUUGGAAUGACGAUUAAUCAAAAAGCUUACUAAAACAACUUUCACCUUAAUAACCUCAGAAUAAUUAGUCCAGUCUGAACUUGAUUCUAAAUGGUGGUCAUGAAAGAUAAAGGUCAAUCCAAACUGAAAACAAUGCACACUCAAUACUCACAUCAAGAUUAGCUGGACAUUGGAUCAUUGACCAACUCAUUUCGAAAUUGCUGGAAAAAAAACAAUGGAUUUAAUUAGCUGUUAACUUAAUUGUUUGAUAUUCAAAUCUAAAGGCCUGAUGAUUAACACUGGUAAAAUCUCAACGAGGUUAAAUGAACUGUUCAAUAAAUACAAGUGAUUAGUUUUACCCGAUGACAA